rnacentral:rRNA from 1 species
GAGUUUGAUCCUGGCUCAGAUUGAACGCUGGCGGCAUGCCUUACACAUGCAAGUCGAACGGUAACGCGGGGGCAACCCUGGCGACGAGUGGCGAACGGGUGAGUAAUGCAUCGGAACGUGCCCAGUAGUGGGGGAUAGCUCGGCGAAAGCCGGAUUAAUACCGCAUACGCACUACGGUGGAAAGCGGGGGACCGAAAGGCCUCGCGCUAUUGGAGCGGCCGAUGUCGGAUUAGCUUGUUGGUGGGGUAAAAGCCUACCAAGGCGACGAUCCGUAGCUGGUCUGAGAGGACGACCAGCCACACUGGGACUGAGACACGGCCCAGACUCCUACGGGAGGCAGCAGUGGGGAAUUUUGGACAAUGGGCGAAAGCCUGAUCCAGCAAUGCCGCGUGUGUGAAGAAGGCCUUCGGUUG